GAUUCAAUUGAUUUAAGGUCAGCCUUACCACAAGUUGUGUGCUGGAUCCUCAAUCAGAACACCACAGCUAGCACUGAAAGCUACUCUAGGUCGACCACACAUUUCCAGUAACAUCUAUAGAACUACUAAUUAACUCCCAGAACUUAUGGCUCAAGCAAAUCAUCACAAACAUCAGAGCAUAUUGCAAAGAGAAUCAUCAAAAGAGACUGAACACAUCAUUCAACUGAACGCGGUGAAAUCUUAACUCAGAAUAUACUUCGAGCCCGACUAACAGUCACAAUCAUACAGGGAAUGGAAGACACCUGCUCAAAUCGGCUUUUGAUUAAUUAUAUAGACUCAAACACAUGCCACUACUGAUAAGAGAUUCAUUCAACAAGAGAUUCAAUCCCAGCACAAACAGAGCACUUGAGACAGAACCACAAAGUUCAAUACUUUGAAACGAAACAGAACCGCAAGAGCAGAGAGAUGAAGAAUGUACCUGAAAUUUAAAACUUCUGUUGAUAACAGAAUCGAAGGUGAUUACACAGUUUCGACUCCAAAAUUCCCACAAGAACUCAACGGCAAAUCAAAACUCGAAUAACAGCAAACCAGUAGCAGUCUAGUAGAAAUAAGAGGUUCGAACAGCGACCAACUCGAACUUCUUUUGAUGCUAGAAUCGAAGGUGAUUACACAGUUUCGACUCCAAAAUUCCCACAAGAACUCAAUGGCAAAUCAAAACUCGAAGUACAGCAAACCAGCAAAUGAGAGGAGAGGGAAUCUUUGGUGUCGGAAACCGUUAUCUGCGAUAAGAGGAGAGAUAGAGGAACGCGUGGGUUAGGGAUUGAUAUCUACUCGCGUGAAUUUUGAGCUGAAAUGGGGGCUUGGUUCGUGGUACACAGUAUCGCGUUUGAGAGAUUUAGGGGUUUUCGUGAUUUUUUGGGUCUCUGAAGACUGCUGUGUAUUUUGGGUAUGUGGGGCUGAACCGGGUUUGGGCUGGUAAGGGGGUAAGCCACGUUUGGGCCUGAGAUUAAAUAAGGACACUAGCCCAAAAUUAGUUUCUUAAAGGAGAAGACCAAUUAUAUCUUAUUUCAUUCUUUCUUUUCUUUUCUUUUCAACUUUCUUUUUAAUUCCUUUUUUCUUUUUAUUUUAAAAAUAAAACACGUCUAAGUUAAUUCCUAAAACUCAAAUAACCCUAAAAACUAAUUAAACACAUAUGAAAAGGGGGGUUUGCUAAAAACGGGGGGAGGGUAAAUAAAAUAUAAAAAAAACUAAUAAAAACUUACCUAGGCGGCGGGCACCGCGGUCGCGGGAGGACUGCGGGAGAAAAAUUUUAGAGGGGGUGUUUUGAUGCGGUUGGCUCGCAUCCGGGGUUGGACCGCGAAAAAUGUUUUUCUGAGGGGGGUCUUGCCCGCAGUUGGACCGCAAUCGCGGGAGGCCUGCGGUCAGACCCCUUCUCUGAAUCUGGCGCCCCUUUUUUUUAGAUUCUUACAUGAUUACACUUACUACACAAUCGUGGGUUUCCUCCCACGCAACGCCUGAUUUAACUUCGCGGCACGACUCAGGUAAGUGAAUUUUACGGCUCGCUCAACUGCUGUGGUUCGCUCAAGUGUAGUGCUGAUCCAUCCUUAGGUCCACUCAUUCCCACGUAUAGCUUCAAACGCUGACCAUUGACUCUAAAUGUGUGAAAGUCGUUCUCAGUAGCAACAUCAACAGCUCCAGACGGAAAGACUUCAACAACCUGAAAUGGACAAGACCAUCGUGACUUUAGCUUACCUGGGAACAAUCUCAGUCUUAAGUUGCAGAGUAGUACCAUGUCCCCAGCUUUGAAGGUUCACUAUAUAAUGUGCUGAUUAUGCAGCCUCUUCAUUCUUUCUUUAUAUAGUCUUGUGCUCUCAAAAGCAAGAUGUCAGAACUCCUCCAACUCAUGCAAUUAUGUGACUCUAGAUGAUCCUGCAACUUCCAUGUCAAGAUUCCGUUGUUUCAGUGCCCACCACGCUCUAUGCUCAAAUUCUACCGGCAGAUGACAGGCCUUCCCAAACACCAACUUGUAUGGAGACAUACCGGUUGGUCUCUUGAAUGUUGUUCUAUACGCCCAAAGUGCAUCAUCUAACUUUCUCGCCCAAUCUGUUCUUGUGGCAUUUACAGUUUUUGUCAACACACUCUUUAUCUCUCUGUUGGAGACCUCCACCUGUCCACUGAUUUACGGGUGGUACUGAGUAGCCACCUUGUGGCGCCAUCGUAUUUUGCCAACAACUUCUCAAAUGCUCUGUUGCAGAAAUGAGUGCCCCGUCACUUAUUAUCGCCCCUGGUGUCCAAAAGCGGGUGAAUAUAUUUUUCUUCAGAAACCCACCACCGCUUUUGCAUCAUUGGUGGGUAAUGCUACAGCUUCCACCCACUUGGACACAUAAUCAACAGCAACAAGAAUGUACAUGCUGCCGUAAGAGCUGAUGAAGGAACCCAUGAAAUCUAUCCCCUAAACAUCGAACACUUCAACCUCCUCAAUCGUGUUCAUAGGCAUCUCGUGGCGCCGGGAGAUGUUCUCGGUGCGUUGGCAUUCAAGGACCCACGAAAUCUAUCCCCUACACAUCGAACACUUCAACCUCCUAAAUUGGGUUCAUGGGCAUCUCGUGGCGCCAGGAUAUGUCCCGGUGCGUUGGAAUUCAUUACAACCCUUUACCCAUGUGUGAGCAUCUUAGAACACUGUUGGCCAGAAAAACCCGACAUCAAGCUCCUUUGUUGCAGUCCUCACUCCUCAAAAGUGUCCCCAAUAAGUCGUUGCAUGACAUGCCUGCAAAAAUAGAACAUUGUUCCAUCUCAGAGACGCAUCUCCGGAUUAUAUUAUCCAGGCAUAUUAUAGAAAGAUAGGGCUCAUCCCAAUAAUACAUACGGCUUUCACGAAAGAAAUGCUUCCUCUGGACCGAAGACAGGUCGUGAGGGACUAUACCACAAGCUAGGUAGUUGGGCAAAUCUGCAUACCAUGGAGCUUCUAGACAGUUAGCUACGAGCAGUUGCUCGUCUGGAAAGGUUUCCAGAAUAUCCUCAAGCUCAAUUGUGUUUUCAGCUCCGUCAAGUCGUGAUAGAUAAUCAACGACUUGGUUCUCAGUGCUCUUUUGGUCACGUAUCUCAAGAUCAAACUCUUGUAGCGACAACACCCAAUGAAUCAGGCGUGGCUUAGAGUCUUUCUUCUUUAUCAAGUAUCUAAAAGCUGCAUGUUCAGUGUAUACAAUUACCUUCGAUCCUAUCAGGUAGGAUCGAAACUUGUCGAAUGCAAACACCACAGCUAACAUCUUCUUCUUAGUCACUGUGUAAUUCAGUUGGGCCUCACUCAGCAUUCUACUUGCAUUGUAGAUUGGAUGCAUCAAUUUGUCCUUCCGCUGGCCCAGCACCGCCCCCACUGUAUAGUCACUAGCAUCACACAUUAGCUCGAAGGUUGCUCCUAGUUGGGGGAAACAAUGAUUGGUGUUGUGACCAGCUUUUGCUUCAGCUCUUCAAAUGCUACCCUGCAUGCAUCAGAAAAUAGAAACGGGUUAUCUUUUUCUAGCAACUUACAGAGAGGGUUGGCGAUUUUGGAGAAGUCUUUAAUGAACCGUUGGUAGAAACCGGCAUAUCCAAGAAAGCUUCUGAUUUUAUUGACCGUGGUUGGUGGAGGCAAUUUUCCUGUGACAUCAACUUUGGCUCGAUCGACUUCUAUCCCCUUGCUUGACACUCGGCGCCCCAAGACUAUGCCUUCUUGCACCAUGAAAUGGCACUUUUCCCAGUUCGAUACCACAUUAGUCUCAAUGCACCAUUUCAACACACGUGUCAGAUUCUCAAGGCACUUAUGGUCACGUAUCUCAAGAUCAAACUCUUGUAGCGACAACACCAAAUGAAUCAGGCGUGGCUUAGAGUCUUUCUUCUCUAUCAAGUAUCUAAGAGCUGCAUGUUCAGUGUAUACAAUUACCUUCGAUCCUAUCAGGUAGGAUCGAAACUUGUCGAAUGCAAACACCACAGCUAACAUCUUCUUCUUGGUCACUGUGUAAUUCAGUUGGGCCUCACUCAGCAUUCUACUUGCAUUGUAGAUUGGAUGCAUCAAUUUGUCCUUCCGCUGGCCCAGCACCGCCCCCACUGUAUAGUCACUAGCAUCACACAUUAGCUCGAAGGUUGCUCCUAGUUGGGGGAAACAAUGAUUGGUGUUGUGACCAGCUUUUGCUUCAGCUCUUCAAAUGCUACCCUGCAUGCAUCAGAAAAUAGAAACGGGUUAUCUUUUUCUAGCAACUUACAGAGAGGGUUGGCGAUUUUGGAGAAGUCUUUAAUGAACCGUUGGUAGAAACCGGCAUAUCCAAGAAAGCUUCUGAUUUUAUUGACCGUGGUUGGUGGAGGCAAUUUUCCUGUGACAUCAACUUUGGCUCGAUCGACUUCUAUCCCCUUGCUUGACACUCGGCGCCCCAAGACUAUGCCUUCUUGCACCAUGAAAUGGCACUUUUCCCAGUUCGAUACCACAUUAGUCUCAAUGCACCAUUUCAACACACGUGUCAGAUUCUCAAGGCACUUAUCAAACGAAUUCCCCACCGCGGAGAAAUCAUCCAUGAACACCUCCAUUAUGUCUUCAACCAUAUCAGUGAAAAUGGCCAUCAUGCACCGUUGGAAUAUGGCGCGUGCAUUGCAAAUGCCAAAUGGAAUCCUCCUGAAAGCAUAAAUGCCAUAAGGCCAUGUGAAGGAGGUCUUUUCGCUGUCCUCAGGUGCAAUGGAUAUCUGGUUGUAUCCUGAGUACCCGUCAAGAAAGCAAAAGUGUGACCUCCCUGCCAAUCUGUCCAGCAUCUGAUCAAUGAAGGGAAGUGGGAAGUGGUCUUUCCGGGUGGCAAGAUUCAACUUUCUAGUCCAUGCGUAUCCUCCAACCGGUGACGGUUCUUGUUGAGAUCAAUUCAUUUUUAUCAUUCUUCACAACCGUCAUGCCACCCUUCUUAGGCACAUAUUUAUCUGGGCUAACCCAGCUGCUGUCAGAAAUUGGGAAGAUGAUUCACGCUUCCUACCACUUUAUUACUUCCUUCUUCACCACUUCCUUCAUAUUCAGGUUUAGCCUUCUCUGAUGUUCCUUGGAAGGUCUAUGUCCCUCUGUCACGUAUCUCAAGAUCAAACUCUUGUAGCGACAACACCCAAUGAAUCAGGCGUGGCUUAGAGUCUUUCUUCUCUAUCAAGUAUAUAAGAGCUGCGUUCAGUGUAUACAAUUACCUUCGACCCUAUCAGGUAGGAUCGAAACUUGUCGAAUGCAAACACCACAGCUAACAUCUUCUUCUUGGUCACUGUGUAAUUCAGUUGGGCCUCACUCAGCAUUCUACUUGCAUUGUAGAUUGGAUGCAUCAAUUUGUCCUUCCGCUGGCCCAGCACCGCCCCCACUGUAUAGUCACUAGCAUCACACAUUAGCUCGAAGGUUGCUCCUAGUUGGGGGAAACAAUGAUUGGUGUUGUGACCAGCUUUUGCUUCAGCUCUUCAAAUGCUACCCUGCAUGCAUCAGAAAAUAGAAACGGGUUAUCUUUUUCUAGCAACUUACAGAGAGGGUUGGCGAUUUUGGAGAAGUCUUUAAUGAACCGUUGGUAGAAACCGGCAUAUCCAAGAAAGCUUCUGAUUUUAUUGACCGUGGUUGGUGGAGGCAAUUUUCCUGUGACAUCAACUUUGGCUCGAUCGACUUCUAUCCCCUUGCUUGACACUCGGCGCCCCAAUGGUAGAAACCGGCAUGUCCAAGAAAGCUUCUAAUUGCUUUGACCGAGGUUGGCAGAGGCAGCUUUGCGAUGACAUCAACUUUGGCUCUAUCUACCUCUAUUCCCUUGCUUGACACUCGGUGCCCUAAGACUAUGCCUUCUUGCACCAUGAAAUGGCACUUCUCCCAGUUCAGCACCAAAUUAGUCUCGAUGCACCUUUUCAACACACGUGUUAUAUUCGCAAGUCACUCUUCAAACAAAUUCCCCACCACUGAGAAAUCAUCCAUGAACACCUCCAUUAUGUCCUCAACAUAUCAGUGAAAAUGGCCAUAAUGCACCGCUGGAAUGUGGCGAGUGUAUUGCAAAGGCCAAAUGGCAUCCUCCUAAAGGCAUAAAUUCUAUAGGGGAAAGUGAAUGAAGUUUUCUCUCGGUCCUCAUGGGUAAUAGAGAUUUGGUUGUACCCUGAGUACCUAUCGAGGAAGCAAAAGUGCGACCUCCCAGCCAAUCUAUCUAGCAUCUGGUCAAUAAAGGGAGGUCUUUCGGGGUGGCAAAAUUCAGCUCACUAUAAUCCAUACAUAUUCUCCAGCCAGUGAUGAUUCUCGUUAAUAUUAGCUCAUUUUCGUCAUUUUUCACAACCGUCAAGCCACGCUUCUUAGGCACACACUGAACUGGGCUAACCCAGCUACUGUCAGAGAUAGGGAAGAUGAUCCCCAUAUCUAACCACUUAAUUAUCUCCAUCUUCACCACUUCCUUCAUAUUUGGGUUCAGCCUCCUUUGAUGUUCUCUAGAAGGUCUGUGUCCCUCUUCCAGCAGAAUCUUGUGCAUGCAAUAGGUGGGGCUGAUCCCUUUGAUAUCUGUCAUGCUCCAUCCAAUGGCAGUUUUGUAGUCUUUCAGUACUUGUAAAAGCUCUUUCACCUGCACAUUUAGCAAACCAGAUGAGAUAAUAACAGGUAAAGUGGAGUUUGGAACCAUAAAUUCAUACAUGAGGUGAGCUGGCAAUGACUUUAGCUCCAGCUUCGGUGGUUCUUCAAUGGACGGUUUAGCCGGAGGACUCUCUCUAUUUUCCAGGUGUAUGGGGUUCAAAUUCUAGCUUUCUAUCCCAAAACCCCUUACCUUCCAAUUCCAACACCCAUUCUGCCAACUCAUCACCAUUAGCCUCCUCCAAAUUUGACAGACAUGCGGCCAAGGGAUCCUCCACCGUAAAUACCUCAUCAUCAGACUGAACAAUUACGUCCACAGCAUCAAUGAGAGAGCAGUUAGCAAACUCACUUGGACGUCUCAUCGAUUUUUGCACAUUAAAAGUAAUCUCUUCAUCAUUGAGCCUCAUCUUAAGGUCCCCAGUCUCGCAAUCAAUCAAUGCUCUCCCAGGGGGCAAGAAUGGUCUUCCUAAAAUGAUAGGAAUUUCUUCAUCCACCUUGAAAUCCAAGAUCUGCAAGGAACACAAAUUUUUCCACCUGAAUAAGAACAUCAUCUAGGAUCCGAAGCGGAUGCUUUACAGUCCUGUCAGCUAGCUGCAGUAGCAUAGAGGUGGGUCUAGCUCUCCCAAUGCCCAACCUCUUGUAAACAACCAGUGGCAUGAGGUUAAUGCUGGCCCCCAAAUCACAAAGUGCCUUUGUAAAGGCAAAAUUUACCAAUAAUACAAGGAAUAGUGAAACUCCCUGGGUUACAGAGCUUUUCAGCAACGGGGCUAGUUACCACUGCACUACAAGUCUGUGUAAGUGUUACUGUGGCCAAUUCUUGGAAGUCAAAUUUCCUAGACAUCAAGUCUUUCAUCAUCUUUGCGUAUCCAGGCAUCUCCUUUAAAGCUUCGAUCAAUGGAAUAUUUACCUAAAUUUGCUUGAGCAUGCCAAAGAACUUCUUGUAUUGCUCAUCUUUUUUGUGCUUGGCCAAUCUCUAUGGGAAUGGUGCAGGAGGUCUUUUCUUCCCAAUAACUUGGGACUUUUCCUUCUCAACUAUCAUCUCUUCCACUGGUUCUCCCACUAUUUCAGUGACUUUGUCGCUCUCGUGCUGCAUAUUCUGAUUUUCAGGAACAGGUUGGACUUCACAUCUGUCAGCCUUGUUGAUUUAUCCAGCUCAAUGGGUACCUGAAUGAGUGUCUUUGUCUGCAUAUUCUCACGAGUUCUUUCCUGCUCAACAUCAAGAUCUCUACCAUUGCGGAGACUCACCGCCAUCAGCUGCUUCGGUACCUGAUCUUUGAGGUUGGUCUGAGUAUAUGCAGGCAAUGUCCCUUGAGGACAUUUAUUCAAUGACAUAACAAUCUGGCCCACCUGCAUUUCAAUAUUUUUAAUAGUUGUAUCAUGUGCAUCUACCCUCUCAUUUAUCUUUGCAUUUGACCCAAUCACUUGCUGCAUCAUCGCUUCUAGCCUGGAGAACCCAUCUUCUUGUCUCCCACCCUGCUAUUGCUGAGGGGGAUGGUACCCUUGUUGCUGAUUAUUUAUACCCUUGUGGCCUAGGAUAAGGUGCCAUGUUGUUGGGGGGUCUCAUACCUCCCAUAUUCCCUGCAUUGUAAUGUGGCUGCAGUGGCUUGUACUGCUGCUGAGUUUGCUGGCCCAAUUCUGAUUACCUUACCUCUGACCCUCGUAGUUAGCCACAUAAUUCAUAUCUUCAGGUUGCUGAUGAUGAAGGUUAUGCUCCACAUUCCAUGGAUUACCAAUUGGCUGACUGAUGCAAGAUGUGCACAAGCCCCCAUUGGUAGUAUGAACUAUAUGUACAUGCUGCUUUUUUCCCGACUCCUCCACCUUCUUGGUGAGGAUGCUCAUCUGUGUUAAAAGAGUCGCCACUUUCUCAUCCAUAGUGUUGGACGGAUCAAGAGGUACUGAAUGCACCACCGGAGUGAUAGGUGCGUUUCUGGUUAACCAACCUGAAUUCUGAGCCAUUUUAUCCAGCAGGUUCUGUCCUUGUCUCUAUGUCUUGCUCAAAAAUGUCCCACCAGCUGAGGCAUCCACAAUAUUUUUCAUGCUGUCAGAGAGUCCCAUGUAAAAUCGUUGUCCCAACAUCUGCUUUGAAAUACCAUGAUAAGAACACAUUACCAACAUUCCUUUGAACCUUACCCAUGUCUCGUGCAAAGUUUCCAUAGGUUUCUGUUUGAAGCUCAGAAUCCCAUCAAUCUGUUGUGCUGUUUUGUUGGGCAGAUGGAACUUGUUGUGAAACUGUUUGACUAACUCAUCCCAAGUUUCAAUGGAGUUGAUGGGGAGUGGGUUUAGCCAAAUCUGAGCAGCUAGUGUCACAGAGAAAGGAAAUAAUAGCAGCUUGAUUGCUUCCGGAGUCACAUUGGGCUGCCUCUGAGUUUUGCAUGUGGACAGGAAAUUCUUUAAGUGCUGCAGAGGGUAGCAGCUCAUGUCACAGAGAAAGGAAAUAAUAGCAGCAUGAUUGCUUCCAGAGUCACAUUGGGCUGCCUCUGAGUUUUGCAUAUAGACAGGAAAUUAUUUAAGUGCUGUUGAGGGUCUUCUACCUUCGUUCCAAAAAACAAUCCCUUGUUUUGCAAUAAGUGCAGCAUAUUGUUUGUAAUCUGGAAAGAUUCAGCCUGUAUAGCUGGCACAACAAUGGCUGUUUCCAGAUUAUCAGAUGUCGGUUGUGCCUAGUCAUAAAGGAUUUAGCUACUCAUAACUAUGGGUAAUUAAAAUAAACUAAGAUUAAACAUAAUCUAACAAUAAAAAUCAAAAGGGAAGAAGAAAUAUGAUUGAGAGAAUCUCUCAAAGUGAUUUUCCCUUCCAAGAACUCUAAGAAAUCAAUACAUGCCUCUCUUGGGCAAAACCUAGGGAUUAAUAUAGGUUUUUUGGCUUAAUUCCACGUUUUUCCACAUUUACCCCUUGUCAUGAGUUCGCCUUCCGCGGUCGAGGCGCGGUCGCAGUCGAACCGUGCUCGUGAAGCCUCUCUGAAUCUCGAUUUAUCUACAAUCCUGUUUGCCCGCGCUCCAUCCGCGGUCGCGGCUCGACCGCGGCCAAAGCCCUUCUCUGAACUUCAAUUUGACUGAGGCCUUAUUCCACCGCGUUCCAUCCGCGGUCGCGGUUGGACCGCGGCCAACGGCCUUCUCUGAAUCUUUGGCCUAGUUCGACGGGAAUUUCUUGGGAGUUUGCACAGUUGGCCUUUUUCCUCAUUUUCUCGACUCCAAAGAUAAUCCCUAGUAGUAUAUAGCCUGAAAACACGAAAAGCACCUAUAAGAACAUUUUUGCUGACACUUUUAAUAUCAAACAAUACACGAAAGUGAUUAUUUAGGGCUUGAAUAUAGUCAAAUUCACCUAUUAUCAUUGCGUUCACAUACUUCUGUGUCAAUAGUUACAAUGUGACAAAAUGAAUCUUUUUUUUCAUCCAUUAGAAUUGAGUCCCUUCCACAAAUUGUAUUUAAAAUACGAAUAAACAUUCUACCUUCAAAAGUUAAUUUACCAUUUUGUCCUUGUUACAAAUAAUAAGCAUUCAAUUAAAUAAUUCAUAUUUUGUUUAUUUAAUUUUACACUCUAUUUAAUUGUAUUGCGUGGGAUCAUUUCGAGUGAAUUGAAAAUUAAAUUUGCUAUUUAAUUAGGGUCCUAUUAAAUGGUUUAUUAUGACUACUAUGAACGUGGGACUUAAGAAAUUUAUCACCAACCAAAGCGUUUUCACCACCAUUAACUUAAGCGACAAAAGUGAUGUUCAGAAAACUUUUGGAUUUCUCUGUCAUCCUUUCUCCAUCUGCACAAAUUGCCAUCCGUUACCAUAAUAAAUUGCUAAUCAUUUAUCGUAUCUGUUGAAGAAUAUUAUCAGCCUACUGAUGAGCUUGCAUAAAUAGAGUGAUAAAUCAGUAAUGCAAAUACCAUCAUCAUUAGAAGAAACAAUAGAGGAAAUUAAGCUGCAGAUUUAUCAGGCAAGAUAAUUUUUUUUUGUUACUUCAUAUGAAUACUCAUGAAACUGUAUAUUCUUGUUUGUGCAAAUUCUUGUAAGUAAGCAACACUCUCCACUGUUAUUAUUUAUCUUGCACUGCGAUAAAUAAUUAAGACGAUAUUUCUUUUGAUUUUUCCACCCGGUGUCCGGUACCCGCGUUGGAGUCCGACUAUAUUCGGAUUCGCGUCAAGUAGGGCCACAUUCGGGGGUAGCGCUCUCUACCAAGAGUUUUUUCAUACCGAGGCUCGAACUCGAGACCUCUAGUUAAGGGAGGAGCAGCCUCAUCCGCUGCACUUGGUGGUGUCGUUCAAGAUGAUAACAUUAUUAAUAUUCUCUCCCAAAGACUACUUUCUUUUCUUCUUCUUUUCUGAAAUAUUUGUUGCCUAUGGAUGUCAAUAUUGGAACCAGAAGGAGUAACAAGUAGAAGAAUUCAGAAAUGCGGCCAGCAAAUAUACUAUUUUUUCUCCAUUUACAAAGAUGUUAAGCCUAUAGACUACAGUUAAGAAAAGUCCCUAAUUAGAUAUCACAUUUAAAAUUAUAAAUAGAUAUACUGCAAGUACUUUUUAACAAGAUCUUUCACAUAUUUAUCUGUUUAUAUCAAGUCCUUUUCCUGUGAAGGAUGCAUACCAAAUGAUUUCGGACAAGAGGGGUUGCUCUGGUGAUAAGAAACUCCCACUUCUAACGGAGAAGUUGUGAGUUCGAGUCUCCCCAAGAGCAAGGUGAAAAGUUCUUGGAGGGAAGGAUUAGGGGUGUGCAAUCGAUUUAUCGAUUCGAUUUUGACCCUUAUCGAUAAUUACUUAUCGAUUAUCGAUUUGUACAUAUGCUUAUCGUUAUCGUUUCAANNNNNNNNNNNNNNNNNNNNNNNNNNNNNNNNNNNNNNNNNNNNNNNNNNNNNNNNNNNNNNNNNNNNNNNNNNNNNNNNNNNNNNNNNNNNNNNNNNNNNNNNNNNNNNNNNNNNNNNNNNNNNNNNNNNNNNNNNNNNNNNNNNNNNNNNNNNNNNNNNNNNNNNNNNNNNNNNNNNNNNNNNNNNNNNNNNNNNNNNNNNNNNNNNNNNNNNNNNNNNNNNNNNNNNNNNNNNNNNNNNNNNNNNNNNNNNNNNNNNNNNNNNNNNNNNNNNNNNNNNNNNNNNNNNNNNNNNNNNNNNNNNNNNNNNNNNNNNNNNNNNNNNNNNNNNNNNNNNNNNNNNNNNNNNNNNNNNNNNNNNNNNNNNNNNNNNNNNNNNNNNNNNNNNNNNNNNNNNNNNNNNNNNNNNNNNNNNNNNNNNNNNNNNNNNNNNNNNNNNNNNNNNNNNNNNNNNNNNNNNNNNNNNNNNNNNNNNNNNNNNNNNNNNNNNNNNNNNNNNNNNNNNNNNNNNNNNNNNNNNNNNNNNNNNNNNNNNNNNNNNNNNNNNNNNNNNNNNNNNNNNNNNNNNNNNNNNNNNNNNNNNNNNNNNNNNNNNNNNNNNNNNNNNNNNNNNNNNNNNNNNNNNNNNNNNNNNNNNNNNNNNNNNNNNNNNNNNNNNNNNNNNNNNNNNNNNNNNNNNNNNNNNNNNCAAGUACCUUUCCAGGUUCGGGAGUGAAUUUUAGUGUAACUGCUGCCCAAUCGGAUAACUCUUCCUCCUUGCCAGCAUUAGUAGAUCCAUUGGCUUUAUCUCACUGUCAAGAGGACAAUAAAAUAAAACUAUUACUAUUAAUCCAUAUUAAUGCUCUUGGUAUAAAAUAACAGAAGAGGAAAAUAAAUCAGUUAGAGCAAAAUCUCUUUGAAAAGAACAAAACUAGUAAUCAGUUACAUAACAAUACAUCACAUUCUUUUACAAAGUAUAUUAUUUAAAAUAGAGAACUUACAUAGCAACUAACACCUCUCUCUGUUUCUCUAGAAUUCAAUGUUCAUAUUUGCCUGCAAAGCAUUUUCUGAUCUUACCACAUCAGCUUGCACCGAGUGGUCAAUUACAAGUUCAACUGGAACCUGCAAAAUUAUCACUGUCUCAAUAGUCCCCGCGGAAUCUACAAAACAGAACAGAAGCCUUUGAAAACAUAAGCAAGAGGAACAAUCAACACCUGCCCCUUUACAACAAAGAAAUAAUAUUGAUGGAAGACACUUUACUUUUUGGAACUUCAAAAAGCACUCCAUUCAUGGUUUCUUAAUAUAAAACUAUCUUAAUACCUCGUUAAACCAUGAAAGUUGAAGUAGAAAUCACUAAGUAACAUAAAAUAGCAUGUAAAGAAUAUAGAACAAAACUCAAUUCAACAAUCAACAAUAACCAAAUAUUAAUGAAUUGAUAGUCCCCGCAGAAUCUACAAAACAGAACAGAAGCCUUUGAAAACAUAAGCAAGAGGAACAAUCACCAUCAGCCCCUUUACAACAAAGAAACAAAAAUUGAUGGAAGAGACUUUUUUUUUUUUUUGGAACUUCAAUUAAUAUGAAGACAUCUUUACAUGUAACAUCUUGUACAAGAAAGACCAUUAAAACUCAAUUGAAACAUCGAAUAAAUAGAGAAAAAAUUCAGGCUAAUAUGCACAUACGGGCAUAUCAAUCAGCUAUGUUUCAAUCCUUUGUUCCAAUUCAAAGAAUGCAUCCCUCAUAAGUACAGACUAUAUAUCUACCCGAAUAUGAGAGUUCAAAUCACUAUUACCUCUAUUUGAAUCAAAGUUUCUCAACACAAAUUCAAGACAUAAAAUAAACAAUAUAUUGGACAAACGGAUUGUAGUCAAAACACGAGAUCUGCAAAAUAAGUGACAGGAUGGACGCAGAAAUUAAAAAAAAAAUCUUCCACUAAAUUACCUCGCCGUACUCCUCCUUUUCACUCUUUGGUGCCUUCAAAGGCUUUGCCUUUCCACCUGUUCCACAAAAAGAAAAAUCAGUGAGAAAAUCAAUUCAGUUCUUAACCUUUCUUCGACAAAAUCAAUUAACCAACCACACCUCAACCCAAAUUAACUGGGUCAGAUAUAUGUCAAAAAUAAUCAAAAAUCAAAUCUUUGAAAACCAGUAAUUAUAGAAAAGGCGAUUAAAAGUUAAAAAAGAGAAGAAAAAGGAGAUUAAGGAGUGUACCUUGCUUAGAAGACAUGGUUGAUUUUCUAGGGUUAAGAGUUUGGAUCUGAUUAUCGGUUAAUUAGAGAAUGGAAAUACCUUCUCCUAACCCACACAGCUCUGUUGUAAAGUGGCGUUGGAAUUUUCUGGACAGUCGCAUAAAUUUAUAGCAUUGGUGUACAAUCAUGGAACAACAACGACAAUGACGAUUGGAGAGUGGCGAUAGAACAGAGCGGCGGCCGGCGGCCCGGCGCUGAAGAGAAUGGUGACUGAAGUUCAGUCACUGAACUGAAGAGUGAAGAGAAGCGGCGGUCGAUUGAAAAAUAAAAAUAGGGUUAACUUAAGUAUAUUAUAUGAUAUCAGUAUUAUAUGGUAUAAGGGAAUAGGGAUAGGGUAGUAAUAGUAUUAUAAAAUAAGGGUAUAUUUGUCUUUUUAAUAUAUCUUAUCGAUUUAUCGAUAAACCGAUAAACCGAAUGGCCAAAAUCGAAAUCGAAUCGAUAAACUGAUAAGGAAAAUUUUCGAAAUCGAAAUCGAAUCGAUAAACCGAUAUCGAUAAACCGAUAACAAAAUAAUCGAUUCAGUUUAUCGCUAAACCGAUUCGAAUGCACACCCCUAGGAAGGAUGUCAGUGGUCUAUUUGGAAACAGCCUCUCUACCCCAGAGUAGGGUACGGUCUGCGUACACACUACCCUCCCCAGAAUCCACUAAAUGGGAUUAUACUGGGUUGUUGUUGUUGAUGCAUACCAAAUGAUUCAUUUCAAAUCGCAACACUUUAUUAUUUGGUACUGUUGUCAAAUUCAUUCUUUCUGUCAAGGCUUAAUUUGGUGUUAUAACUUUUUAAAGGUUAAUUCGAUUAUUGCAUCACAAAAUUGUUAAUAAUUAUACAAUUUAUCAUUACUUUUAUUAAGUUAUUAUGAUAUUCGUACAUAUUGUUAGCUGAAGCUUUUCCUAUCAAACUAUAAUAAUUACUAUAGUGUGCUUAAAUUAUAAUUAGAUUGUGGAAAAUUACACUAUUAUUUUUCCUAAUAUAGUAGUGCUAUGUUUUUCAUGAAGUACUAAAAUGUCAAAACUGCCAACAUCUACACAUGAGUUCUAUUAGAGCCUAAACCAGGAUUUCAAAUUUAUGGUGGGAUUCUAAUUAUUUUAAGUUAUAGGAUUCUACUGUAGCUCGAUUACCAAUUGCUAUAUCUUAUAAUAUAAUUAUAUUUAUACAAUUCAAUUAAUUUAUAUUUUUUGUCAAUUUCAGCGAUGAAAGGACUAACAAUUUUGAAUCAGAUGAAGGAUACAUGUAUGUGCAGUUAGAUUUAUAUACAUCAAUUAAAUAUUUCAAAAACAAAUUUUCUCUAUCACAAAUAAUUACUACUUUCGUGUAUAUACAGUAUGAAAUUGACAAUGAUUUACUAGCUAUCCCAAGGAAUGUAUAUGUUGAUCGCAUUUCUGGACAGCUUCUACAAAACACUACUUUCAUUCCAUAAUAACUUCUUAAUAAGUUUUUGGCCGUAAAAACGUGGAGGCUACAAUUUCUUUUAAAAAAAAAGAGCGAAAAUGUUACGUAAAAUAAUUGCAAUCAUAGCCCACGUCUAAAUUAUGUGCUUUUGACAUACAGAAAAGGAAUGACUGUCAACAGAGACAGAUCCAGAAUUUCAGCAGGAUGGAUGCACCAUUAUCCGACCUCAUCGUUUGAUUUGGUUUUCUGAAACUUACUUGGAAAACUAUCAAUAAUAACAUCAUUAUUUAUAGUUACAAAUGUUAAAACUCAAUAUUUAAUUCAAGGAUAUAUCAAAGGGUGAACCAAAAAAGAGAAGAAUGCAUGAAAAAAAAUGAAAAAAAGAAAAGAAAGACAAGGCAUGGGAUUUGAACAAAACAGAAACGAACAAAAAAGAGAAAUAGAAAUAGAAAAAUGGUUUAGAGAUGGAAGAUAGGGGAGUGGAUUCGAGCACUAGACGUGGGGUCGAUAGUGCACAAAGCUACCACUGCACCUCUUUAUUAUGGGUUCCCACAUGGAAAAUUAAAUACUUUAUUCGGAAAAUGUCCCUGUGAUACACAGACUUAGGAGGGGAGUACUUUAUUGAAAUAUUUGAUGUAUUAUAAGAAUUUCUUAAUUGAAGGCGUUCGAACAUUACUUUUGAAAUUCAUUUGAUACUACUUGCAAUGAUAAUAAAUAUUGGCUGAAUAAACUCACCAUUCUUAAGUAUGAGCUUUAUUGUUUCUCUCCAAUUUUCGUGCAACUCAUUGUAAUAUUCUAAGAAUAUUAGUAAUAACUAGCACGGGAUAUACGUGCGUGUUCAAGAAUUAAUUAUAUUAAAAGCAUCAAUUGUAAAUUUAAAAGUUAAAAGUAAAUUAUUUUUUUACCCUUUUAAAGUCCCUACUUAUGUAAAUUAAUUAUUCUAAUAAUAUAUUAAUUAAUACUCCAUCCUGUCCAAAAUAAGUGAUUUUUUGAUAUUUUUACACAGAUUAAGAAAUCCAUCUUUUAACAUUAAUUAGUAAUGGAAUUGACCAUAUUAACAUUUACUAUCUCACAUAAACACUCCUAACACAUAUUCCAAUACUAUUUACUCCAAGGACAUUAUAGGGAAAAAAUAAUUAAUUCAUUCUUGAAAUCUAGAAAAAUUACUUAUUUUGAACUACAAAAAAAUAGCAAAAAAAUUACUUAUUUUGAACCGAAGGGAGUAGUAUUUAAAUAGAAAGGAAGAGGAAAUUGUUGUUGAAGCGUUGUGUAUCUUCAAAUGCUUCAGAUUAGUAAAAGAAAAUAUUGUCCCAACCGUUGCGUUUUCAUGCAUAUAUAGCAAACUUCAUAUCAUAAAAUCCACAAUCCUUCACUUCUCACAAAACUUUACCUUAUGAAAUUACCUAAUGAAAUGUUUCUCAUAGCAUUGUCUGUGGGUGAAAAAAUAUAAGUGGGAACUUAAAUUAUUAAAAUACCCAUUAAAAGCUGAAGUACAUUUUUACCCUUUAAUAAAAUACUGUUCGUAUAAUAUUUUUGUACAAAGAAGUAAAUAUUUAACAAAAUACAUGUAAAGGUACUUUGAUAAAUUACAAGUCUAAGUUCAAAUAAUCUGAAAUUAGGAGCAAGUGAAAAGACUACUAUUACAGUUAAUCUCAUCAUUAUGCAGUUACCAAGAGCCACAUGCAUGAUUCUUUCAUCUUUUUUAUAUGAAAAAUGAAGUGCUUACUCUUUUAAUUUGGCCUUCUGAUUCCUAUUUUCUUCAUAGGGAUGUUAAUUUCUACCAUUCCUCUUGAUAUAUAUCAAUUGUCAAACGAUAGUAAAUACUCAACACUCUCAUUGUCAACCAACUUUUUCCUCCAUCAACAAGCUGGGAUAGUUUUGUUCCUCGAAAAUAAAGGUAAUUGAUCAUCUUAGUUCUCAUGUUAAAUCUUCGUAUAGUUGGAUUGUCAUACUAGUUUAAAGUUUAGGUAAAACAUAUACCACGAAGAAGGAACUUUACAAUCCAGUCAUCAUUGUUCAUGUCAUCUUAUGAAAGUUAAAUUUGUUAUAUCUAAUUAAAUAUAUAAGCCCAAUAUAUAUUAAUAUAAGAUUUUGUCUCCGCGGUAAUUUACCUAUUUAAUUCAUAACUUGCAAACUUUUUUUUCCUUCGCUUAGUUCUGGCAAAAAAAUUAUUUUAAGUGACACAUACAUUAUAUUUAUAUGUGUAUUUAUUUAUUUAUUUUGUCUUUUUGUUUGCCAAAUAUGACAAGAGGGGUUGCUCUGAUGGUAAGCAACCCCCACUUCCAACCGAGAGGUUGUGAGUUCGAGUCUCCCCAAGAGCAAUUGGGAAAUUCUUGGAGGGAAGGAUGUCGGGGUCUAUUUGGAAACAGCCUCUACCCUCUCCAGACCCCACUAUGUGAGAUUAUACUGAGUUGUUGUUGUUGUUUGCCAAAUAUGUAUAUAGAACAAACACCUUCAAUUUUGUCAACUUUUUCAAGCCAAUAUAUACAUGGAGAUUAAUAUAGCAUGAGAGAUGAAAGAAAUUCAUCAACACGAUGAUCCAUGUACUUAGAAUAAACAAUGUAUAACACAUGUUGGAUCAUGGAUCAAUUUUAUUGGUUCUAGAAAGGUAAUUUUUUCGUUAAAAUAUCAUGGUAUAGCCAGUUUUUACACUGGUCAGUAAAAGAUAGUCACUGUUUACCAAUUCAAUAAAAAAUAGCCACUAUUUUACUGCACAGGGACCGGUCCAGUAUAAUAUAAGGGAGUUCUGGUGUGUUUGUGUACGAACUCCAGCAUAUUAUACUGGACCGGCAUACUUUGCUAACUCCUAUAAAAUUUGCGGGAGACUGGAGCACCAGUGCUCCAAACUCCAGUAAUUAUUUUGUUGUAACAAGGAUCGGUCCAAUAUAAUAUACGGGAGUUCUGAUGCAUUUGCGUAUGAACUCCAGCAUAUUAUGCUGGACCGGUAUACUUUGCUAACUCCUGUAAAAUUUACAGGAGACUGGAGCACCAGUGCUCCAAAUUCCAGUAUAUUAUACUGGACAAUUAUACUUGCUAGAACUCCAGUAAAAUUUGCGGGAGUUCCAGCAUAACUAUGCUUGAACUCCCGUAAAAUUUGCGGGAGCUCCAGUAUAGUUAUCCUGGAACUCCCGUAAAAUUUACGGAAGUUAAAGCAUAUUUAUGCUGGAACUCUCGUAAAAUUUACGGGCAUAUUAUUUCGGAUUUUGAACAGUGUUUUCGCUCAAAUUUAAAGUGAUUAAAUUUUGAUGACUUUUGGAACUUGGCUAUUUUUCAAUGACCAGUGAUAAAUCUGGCUAUUUUUAAAUUUCUCGCAAUUUUUUCCUUUGAUAUUUCUUUUAUAACUCCCAAAAUAUUUUAAUAGUAUUUAUUUAGUUUUUAAAAGUUUAUACACAUAAAUAUGGGUACACGCGUGCAACGCGCGUGCCCAGAAACUAGUAGUAGUACAAAUAGCAGCAAAGCAUAACGGAGUGGUGUGUUUUUAUUUAUUUCCUUGCAAAUGUUAAAAUUUCAAAGUUAAAUGUUCCCUAUUAAAUUCUUACAGUGUGCCAUUCUCAAAAUUGUUCAAAAUCGCACUAAAAAGGGAGGUUGCUGAAAGAGCAAGAGUGCAAUAUUUUCUUCUUUCUUUUUCAUUUUUUAAGGGGGCAGUACACUUAACAAGAAAAUUUCUUUCAACGAGGAAGAAAAAGCAAUUGUAAUAGCCACAGCAUUCCAAAAGGAUGUCAAAUUAAAACGGUAUUAUAAUUUACUAGGCCUGAUUACUUUAGCUUUGUUUGAUUGGUGUAAAGUUGUAGCUUUAUCUAGCAAUGAGUGAGCAAUUCACAAGUAUUAUUGGGCAACGAAAUCAUUCAAGUGCAAGAAACAGCCUCUUGUCCAAACGAGUAAAGUUAUUGCCAAGUGACCAGAAAGUUAUGGAUUCGAACCGUAAAAAUAGCCUCUUAUAAAAAUCUAAGAUAAGGUUAUGCACCGUAUCGCUCUGUCAUUUAUUGAUCGAACGGGCUUUUGGACUUCCGUCACUUGCUAUAAUUAAGUUGUAUUAGAGACGUACAUAGAUCUGAUUGGUUCGGUUUUUUCAAUUACUAAACAAAACCAAUGGUGUCAGGUUCUUAAAUCUAUAAAUCAAACAACACCAACAAAAUCGAAUAUUUCAAUUUUUUCUGGGUCUUCGGAUUUUUUUCCGGUAAAGUCUUCAUAGCACAAAAUAUGUAACUUGUGUUCCAAAUAUUUCUUUAGUCCAAGUAAGUUACAAAUAUAUAAUGUAUUUUCCUCGAAAAUAACACAAUAAUAUGAGAUAAGCCAUUACAUUACACUAAAAUAUUCAAUAACAAAGAUAAUGAAAUUAUAUAAAGCAAAUAUUGCUAAUUAAUAAGCCAUAUCGAAAAUUAACAUAAUCUAAAGACACUAUAUAGGUCAUGCUAAAAUAAGUAUAACUAAUAAGUACUAUUACUUACAUAACUAAAUACUAACGCAAAAGAUAAACUAAGUUAUGCAUUUUCAUUAAAGACCAGUGUCAAGUUAUGCAUUUUCAUUAAAGACCAGUGUCAAACUAAAAAAUAGAUAUCCAACACCAUCGCCAUUCCUAGUGGAAAACAAUCUGACUUAUAUUUGAUGCCACGGUUCUAUUGCUCUACUAAAUGUAUUUACUAGGUAUGGUGAUUUGAAAUAAUGUAGUGCGAACAACCAAGAGUUCUCAGCCCCACGCCAUGGAGCAUGCAUAAUUAACCACCAACUUCCCAUCAAAACCAAAGUUCUGCAAUGCAAGAGGAUAGAAAUAAUGUAUCAACAAUAAACUCUAAAUGCACGGUUGGGAGGCUAAUCAAGUUCAGAUAGCUGCUCAAUAAACAGUGAAUAACCAAUUUUACCAAUAUAGAGAUUUUGACACCAACAGGGAGAGAAAAAGAGGGGAGGAAAAAACUCAGAACGAAACAUAUAACAUCUUCUACGGAUCGCCCAUAAAAGCAUCAAGAGUCAUGUAUAACGUUGAGUUGCUAACAUAUGUUUUGACUCCCGGUAGCAAAAAGAACUCGAGGCAUACAGCAUCUAGUGCAUUUAAAAGAAUGAAAUAUUGGGCUCUUUGACUGCCUAGAAGUUGAGUGGUGGUUGAAGAUGUUUGGUCCAUACUUUAGUUCAUACAAAAUACUAAAAAGAUUCAUGUUGUCAUGUGCGUUUGAAUUUGUGAAGCUCACAAAAUGGUCUAUAAAAUAAUAAUUCUAAUAAUAAUAAUAAUAAUAAUAUAUUAUUAUUAUUAUUAUAAUAAUUAUAAUUAUUAUUAUUAUUAUUAUUAUUAUUAUUAUUAUUAUUAUUAUUAUUAUUGUGAAGCUCACAAAAUGGUCUAUUUCUAAUAAUAAUAAUAAUAAUAUAUUAUUAUUAUAAUUAUUAUUAUUAUUUCUGUAAGCUAUGAGAAGAAAAGGAUCACAUAAGUGUUCUGGAGGGAGAAGAAAACAAAAUUUUCAAAUGAAAGUAAAAUGACGAUCACCAAAGGAAAUUAAUCCUGAAAUCAGCCUAUAAACACCUGUACAAAACUAAAGCUUGGUGAUUAAAAAUGGAACUCCAUCCAUCUUCCAGUCUUAUAAAAAGAAAAGAAACACAUCCUACACUCCAUCCGUCUUCCAGUAUAGUGGUUAUCAUAUGAAGGUAAAAUGUGUAAUCAGCAAAGAACAUUCAUCUUGAAAUAAUUAUAUGAAAACUUAUAUGUACAGGAAACUUACAUUGUACAGGUCAAUUACCAACUCAUCUGGAUUUGGUGAAAAGGCACUGUUAACAUACACAAACUAGAGAGGAAAGAUUAUAUCAGUAAUCACAACUCUAAUGCACAGUAUCUCUACUUUAGAAUUUCAAAACUCUGAGAGCAAUUCUUUCCUCUGUACUUUAGAAUUUCAAUCAAAACAAAGGACGUACCAAUGUCUCCCUAUGAAGUUGGCGGCGCAGAAAAUCUAUUACUUUGAUGAAUUUGUCAGUACCUGCAAUCUAUGUUGAUGUUUAUAUAUAAUUUGAUGAUUAGAUGAAGCAACAACAACAAAAAAAACAACUACCCAGUAUAUUCCCACCAGGUAGGGUCUGGGAGGGUAAUAUGUAUGAUAAGGAAAAUAUGACUGAUAAUUAUUAACAAAGAAACCAUUUAAAUUUCCAUCUUCAAUUGGCUACAAUAACAUUAAUCAUAUAAGGGAAUUCUUCUAAAACUAAAGUAGGAGAGAUCUGAAGGCUGGCUCCAGCAAAAAAAAAAAGGAAAAUUGAGAAACUAUUAAAUUCUGUGUCUAGUCAAAUGGUGCCAAACAAAUUGGGACAGAUGGAGUUGUAUACUAUUACAUUAGGCAAAUAUGUCAAUAAAGAGAGCGCGGAAUUCGUGCUAUCAAACAAAAUUUCAACUGACACCACAUUGAAUAAUCUCAACCACCCUAUUAUUCCUCAGGCUCCCUGAAGAAAAAGACUUCUCCAGCAACAUACUCCUGCAGGAAUUAUCAGGUGCUUCUCCCGGUUAAGUGGUCCCUCUUUGUUCCUUGUGCUGGUUGCAAUGGGAAACAUCUGCUUUUAUUAAGUAGCAUUCUGUGUUUCAUCUAUUGAAACUAGCCAGAGACACCUUGUGGUCACACCCUUCACAAGCUAUUACUGGUGCUACUUUUACUAAGAGAAACCAACAGCUUCUUUAUGAAGGCUCCAUUUAUGCAGAAAAGCAGUAGCCCCACUUAUAAGCAGCUCCAUCAGGCUAGCACCAGCGGUACUACUGAGAGAAGACCAACCGCUGCAUUUAUGCUGAUGCUGGAAUAUACCUAAGGGUUGUCUUAUAACCUAACUUGUAAUUCAAGAUGUUUUACACUAGCUCCUUCACCAGCCGGUUCCAACCACGUCUAACUGCUGCAGAGAGUACACCUAUCCCUAAUAAGCAAUCUCCACAAUUACAACACUUAGCCUAAGAUAAAGGAUAGAAAGCCUAAGGAAUAAUCACUAUAGUGUAUGAACGAUUGAAGGGUGGAGGCAAAAAUUGUGUGACCCUCUAUGACACCUCCUUCUCUUUUUUCUUUCUUUUUUAUUUUUUUUGGGUGGGGAGGGGGCAGGGGCGAGGGCAUGGAGAUCAGUCCAAUGGGUGAGCUCCACAAAGCAUAGUCACUCCCAAGAUCCGAAAAAUCAGAAGAGUUGCAGUAGGUUAAUGGUUAGCAUAAAAGUCAAAAUGAAGAAUCCUAUCGGGCACACCCACAACGCAUUAUCUCCUGACUAAAGGAGAGUUGAUACUAAGGAUUUAUAAAGUUGAUCUAACUAAUUCGGAAUUUAGGACUUAUAAAGUUGAUCCAACUAAUUCGGACUUUAGUCAUAGUUAAUUAGUUGAUCGAUACAAAUUUUUAGCCGCAUUCUGGGUUUCUUUCCAUCUAUCAUCUGCGCUUUAAGAAUGGACAAAGUUCGAAUGUGCAUUUUCGUUCCCAAACAGCUCUAAUUUUCAAUUCAUUUUAACCGUUUGCAGAAAUUGCUCUAAAAGCCCAUUGUUCCCAAACAGCUCUAAUUUUCAGAUCAUUUUAACCAUUAGCAGAAAUUGCUCUAAAACCCCAUAGAGUAACUUGCAAGGAAACAAUUUCAUCAAACAUCCCUAUAAAAGGUGCACAGUCAUAGAUUAAUUUAUCUUCUCUCUUUCUUAGUUUUAUCAAACAAGGGGCUGGAUGUGGGUCUGUGAAGAUUCCAUAGGAACAAAAGAGGCGACUACUCAAACUAUAUACUCCAUCCAUCCUUAAAAAGACUGCCAAGACUUGAAGUACAAGUGUCUAACACAUCAAAAUUGAACCAUAAAUUCAGACAUCAAUUCCUUAACUUUAUAAGUCUAAAGUACUACAUGUCUACAACAUUUUUUACUCCCUCUGCCCCAACUCAUGUAAUACAUUUUUUAGUUUAUUCCAUAAAGAAUGACAUCUUUCCAUAACAAUUAAAAUUUAAACUUUUAAACUUUUAAUAGCCACAUAAUUGUCUUAAGAUUUGUUUCAAUUCACAAGUCUCAAAAGUCAGUCUUUCUUUCUUUCUUAAAUUAUGUGCACAAUCAAACAACAUCACAUCAAAUGGGAUGGAUAGAGUAGUGAAAAAUAUACUACUCCCUCCGUUUCGAUUUAUGUGAACUCAUUUGACUGGGCACGGAGUUUAAGAAAAUAUAGAAGACUUUUGAAUUUGUGGUGUAAAAUGAAGCACAUAUACUUUGUGUGGCUAUAAAUCAUUGCAUAAAGGUAAAUUGAUUCCAAAUAGGGAAAGAGGUCAUUCUUUUUGGCACGGACUAAAACGGAAAUAGGUUCACAUGAAUUGAAACGGAGGGAGUAUAAGAAUCUUAAAAACGCAUAGUCAAAGGAAACUGUAAUUUGGACAAAGAGCACAACGGUAAAGCGGAAAUAUAUCUAGGGUUUUGGAUCAUAACUCAGUCUAGAACUUUAAUACGAGCAAUUUAUCUGAUAAAAGAAGAAAGAAAAUACAUAAAAUAGAUGGAAAAUCUAAACCUUAAAUUUGGCUUGUUUAAGAAUUGGGGCAUCACCGGUCGCUCUUAAAUGAACAAUCACUACAUAAACAUCAAAAUCAACACAAAAAAUAAGUAACAAGUGGCAUUAAUCUAUUUAAGAACAAAAUAAUUGGGAAAAAAGGAUGUUUGACCAAAUUGAAGCAUGUGAUCAGACCUUUACGAGAAUAGGAAGCCAUAGCUCCUUUGAUUAGAUGAGAAUUUACACGAUUCUCUUGCUUCACUGCUGAAGUUAUUCAAAAGCGAUUCGGUACCGGUUCAAAAUCGGGCAGCCCGUUUUUCUGUAAUUCACUUGAUAAAAGGACAAAAAUGAUCCACACUGUUUGACGUUAUGUAAACUGCAAAGUAGUUCUAUAAUAUAUUUCGAAGUGUUAUGAAAAUAAUAAAAGAACAACAACAAUAUUGCAUAGAAACACAAAAAAAAAUUAUUGAAUUUUGGGAACAUUCUAUUUAUAGGGAGAGUGACUUAGCAGUAAAGUAAUAAAUCUUAAAAUCUCUCUAAAUAUAGGCAUUCACCAUAAAUAAAAUUCUAUUUAUAACAGUCCCUCUUCAAUACAUAUUCAACAGAUAAUGUUCCUCGUUAAAACCUUAACUAAAUAAAACCCAAUGAGAAAAAAUUCUAGAAAAGGAAAAAAAGUACACAUAUCUAACAAUACGUCUUUUGGUUGCCUCGUUAAAAACCUUGCAAGGAAAACCCAGUGGUACAAAACCUUGUAAGGGGGAAAAGAGUUCAACGCGCAUUAACUCCCCCUGAUGAGAGCAUCAAUUCAUAUCCUUGAGCCUUCACAUUCCAAUCUUGUGCACAAUCUUCAAGAGAUCGUUGGUAGAGAUUUGAUAAGUAAAUCAGUCAUAUUAGCUUGAAUGAAUAUGUUGCACCAUGAAAUCUUCAUAAAAUGCCAUUGAAUGGCCUUUUUCAAUAUUUCCAUAGAGAUUCUCGCUAUCAUAUUAUCAUGCUUAUAGUUAUAGCAAGAUACAUAUGUGCACAAAUUGCACUUAGGAUGUGGUACUUCAAGACCAAGAAUUGUAUAUGCUUUAAGCGAUUUAAAUCCUUCAAGGAUUAUCGUAUAAGUUAAGCCAUAUAAGCCAUAUAAUAGACUUUAGAUGCAUAUCAAGUUUUCAUGUCAUGNNNNNNNNNNNNNNNNNNNNNNNNNNNNNNNNNNNNNNNNNNNNNNNNNNNNNNNNNNNNNNNNNNNNNNNNNNNNNNNNNNNNNNNNNNNNNNNNNNNNNNNNNAUAUCAUUGAUUUUAUACUUUCAAGUAUUUGAACUACAUGUCCAAAACUACAUGUCUUUCAUAUGGAAUCAAUUCUACUUGAAUUGUGUCUCUUUUAUUUGGCCAAUAUUUUUGUGUCUAUAUUCGAUAUACUUAAUAUCCUCAUCUAUUUUUAGCGCUAUGACAGAUGUCGUCGACAAAUAUUUUAUAUUGGUUCCAAUAUUUUUUUCAUAGAGACGAAACAUAGAGAUCUCUUCAUUCAUAUUUUCAGGUACCAGAAUCUCUCAUGAGAUUUCAUGAAGUGUUAUGUCAUGUGAUCUUCAAGACCAUUUGCCUCCUUAUUAUGAUCAAUUUGAUCAUUUGCUCAUCUUCUUUAUCAAGGAUUUCUAUUUGAAACCGAUUUGUCUAUGAGCAUUAAGCAUACCAUAGACUUUGUCCUUCUGGGACUUAAUAUGAGCAUUUGCAAUGAGAAUAUAGUUACUUUCUUUGGGUCAGCAAAUGCGUCUAGCAUACUUCGCAAUAUAUUGCAGAUGAAUUAUCUUUUUAUGAACUUCAAGUUCAUAUUAUCGUAUUCGAAGAUCUAGAUAUGCACACGAUAAUUUAUUCCAUGUAACUUUUUCUCAAUUGUUUGUUGUGUCUCCCCCUUAUGUUAGAAAAACUAACUUGCUAACUUUUUUCUCAAUUGUUUAAAAUAUCUCCCCUUCAUGUUAGAAAAAGCUAACUUGUUUCCUCAACUUUGAGAAUCCAUCUUGGUGCAUUAUGGUGUUAAUGAAAAUAUACACCGCACAUCAAUAAUAAUAAGAUGGCAUUAUUUGGUUCCUGACCUCGAACCACUUGUAAGAGGAGAAAAUAAUAUACUUUCGUAACGUUUAUCAAACUGAUAUACAAAACUUUGUUCUCAUAAGCAAUUAUUUAGUUAUUAAGUGGAGGCACUCAACAAAUUAUUUUGCUAAACCAACUGUGAUGUAAACUAACUUAUCAAGAUGAACUUCUUGAAUAGAAAAUCUGAAAAUUAUGCUUGAAAUCAAAAUAAUUGAGCAAGUUACCUCGCAAAAUACCAUGUUGCAGGUUAAUAAUACUUGCACAUGUAACCAUCUCAUAGAUGCAUCUUAUGUGGUAUACAUGACAGGUGAAUGAGCCCAUAUUCACCUUUGAUGCACAUAUAACCAUCUCAUAGAUACACCUUAUGUGGUAUACAUGGCAGGUGAAGGGACUCAUAUUCACCUUUGAUAUUUCCAGCAUUCAUGGGACUCAAUCCCAAUUUUAGUUGGUCUAUUAAUUAAUAAGAACAAGCAAUGUAAGAGAAUUCAUAAANNNNNNNNNNNNNNNNNNNNNNNNNNNNNNNNNNNNNNNNNNNNNNNNNNNNNNNNNNNNNNNNNNNNNNNNNNNNNNNNNNNNNNNNNNNNNNNNNNNNNNNNNNNNNNNNNNNNNNNNNNNNNNNNNNNNNNNNNNUCGUAAAGAACUUUCUAGUUCUUUAAUAUUUAUCCAUGUGAGUUCUCUAUUAUUUUUGCAUAUCAUACUUAAAUUGAUAUGGCUAACCCAGAUGCCAACUGAAUAAAUUAUCAAUAUUGAUAAAGUUCACAUUUACAUCAUGACAUGUGCAAUUAUCAAUAAACUCCAAGUUUAUUAUGAUAUGGACUUUUAUAUCAAUAAACAUCCACUUUAUUGUGGUAUUCGUUUAUUUGUGUAGUACAAUCGUUCCGGUCUUUGUGGCACCUCCCCCAGCCACAUUACAUAGAUCGUCCAGUGAGCCUCUAUUCCAAGCUCACCACACCCAAUAUUACCCUCCCGAACCCACUUUUAAAGCGCCUGAGCCAUAUACCUAUACACCCCAUUUUGAGAUCCCGAGAGAAGUUGAGAAACCAGUUAAGAAUGCGGAACAGGAGGAAGUGAUUCGUAAAGUCAAAAGCCUGGAGCAAUACUUCAGGAACAUGCAUGGCUUAGGCAGCCAAGUUAGUGUUGCUUACAAAGAUUUGUGCCCUUUACCUGAUGUUCAGUUGCCCGCAUGGUUCAAAAUGCUCAAGUUUGAUUUGUACGAGGGACAUGGCGACCCGGUGGCCCACCUCCAAGGUUUUUGCAGUAAUAUUAGAGGAGCUGGGGAAGGAUGAAAUGCUGAUAGCCUAUUUCAGUAAAAGUUUGAGCGGGUCCGCAUUGGAAUGGUACACAAGACAGGACCCCGGCCGAUGGUAUACAUGGGAUGAUUUGGCACAAGCAUUCAUUGGCUAUUUUCUGUAUAACCUUGAGAUAGUCCCCGAUCGUCUGUCAUUGUUGAAGCUGGAGUAGAAGCCCACAGAGAGUUUUAGAGAAUUUGGUUUCCGCUGGAGGGAACAAGUAGCAAAAGUUGAUCCUCCAAUGAGGGAGAGUGAGAUGGUAGACUAUUUCUUGCAGACAUUGGAGCUAACCUACUUUGGUCAUCUAGUGACGUCCGCUAGAAAUCAUUCAAUGAAGUGGUAAAAAUGGGAGCCGUGAUUGAAGAGGGAUUGAAGUCUAACAAAAUCUUGAGCUAUUCGGCAUUGAAAGCAACCACCUAGGCCAUCCAAAGCGGUACUGGUGGCGUGCUCGGAAAGAAGAAGAAGGAAGUUGCCACAGUUGAAGCUAAUACUUGGUCCAGUUCCAACAACCCUCAACCCUACUACAAUCAACCUAGACCCCACCACCCAAAUUACUAGUAUACCCCAUAUGGCCCACAACAACAGUACUACCCAUCCAGAACCACACUUUUCUGUCCACCACACCCAGACAUACACUUAGCCUCUGACGCACCGGCAAUGGCGUGCACCGGCUCCCCAAAACACAUAUCCACUUCCACAAAACACCUAUCCACUUCCCAGGGCUAAUAGACCAGGAACCGGCUUUGGCCCAAACCAAGAUUUUAUAAGUGAGAAGGUCCCCAACAGAAAAAUAUUUACCCCGUUGGGAGAAUCCUAUACCACCUUUUUUCACACACUGAGGCAACUAGGCCUGUUAAACCUGAUUGAGCCCAAAUUAACAAACCCCCUCCUAUAAAUCUGGACCAUUCUAUCAGCUGUGAGUAUUGUUCAGGGAUACCGGGGCACGAUACUGAGAAGUGCUGAAAAUUGAAGAACUCGGAGCAGGAACUUAUUGAUAAUCGCCAUAUUGAAGUACAGGCUCCGGAGGCGCCAAACAUUAAUCAAAACCCGUUGCCAGCACAUCACGAGACUAACAUGAUUGAAAUGAUACAUAAGAGUGCAGAGACUAAGAAGCCCUCGCAGAUAGUCAUGAUGAUCCGUUCUACUGAAGCCCAGGAGAAAGAAAAGGCAGUUAGGGAAAAGCCAGCAAUUCAGCCAAAAGAGAUAGAUGACAAGCCAGUGGUGGUAAGAGGGAAAGGGCCAUUUGUUGCUACAAAGAAGCCAGAGCUAGCCAAGUUAGUGGUACCAGGGUCAUCAUCUACGCCCGUGGUUGUUGUGAAGUGGGCUUACGUAGAACCGGUUAUCAUAAAGCCGGUUGUCCAAUUGCCCAUGGUUGAUAGCAAAGCCGGCCAUGGAAAUAUGAAAAGGUAGUGGUGACAUACAAAGGAAAGGAAAUUGAGGAAGAGAGUUGUGAAGCACAGGGGUUAACUCGAUCAGGACGUUGUUUUGCUCCCGAAGAGUUGAGAAAGGCUAGGGGCACUAAAGACACUCCAGUACUAGUCAAGAAGGCUGUGACAGAAGAAGCGGCAUAGGAAUUUCUGAAAAAGAUGAAAGUGAAGGAUUAUUCCAUUGUUGAACAACUGAGAAAAACACCGGCUCAGAUCUCGUUGUUAUCAUUAUUGAUCCACUAGGACGAUCAUCGCCGGGCUUUAAUGAAGAUAUUGAAUGAAGCUCAUGUGCCCGAUAAAAUUUUAGUCAACCAUCCGGAGACAAUUGCCAGUGGAAGGCACAGAACACAAUAAACCUCUCUACUUGACGGUCAAGUGUGAAGAUUCAAUGGUUACUUACGUGUUUAUUGAUAACGGGUCUAAUGCAAAUAUUUGUCCAUUGUCUACACUGAACAAGUUGAAGAUUGAUGAUGAUAGAAUCCAUAAAAAAUAGUGUUUGUGUUCAAGGGUUCGACGGAGGGGAACAAUCACAAGGAAACAAUUUCAUCAAACAUCCCUAUAAAAGGUGCACAAUCAUAGAUUAAUUUAUCUUCUCUCUUUCUUACUUUUAUCAAACAAGGGGCUGGAUGUGGGUCUGUGAAGAUUCCAUAGGAACAAAAGAGGCAACUACUCAAACUAUAUACUCCAUCCAUCCUUAAAAAGACUGCCAAGACUUGAAGUACAAGUGUCUAACACAUCAAAAUUGAAGCAUAAAUUCAGACAUCAAUUCCUUAACUUUUUAAGUCUAAAGUACUACUGUGCCUAACACAUCAAAAUUGAAGCAUAAAUUCAGACAUCAAUUCAUUAACUUUUUAAGUCUAAAGUACUACAUGUAUACAACAUUUUUUACUCCCUCUGCCCCAACUCAUGUAAUACAUUUUUAGUUUAUUCCAUAAAGAAUGACAUCUUUCCAUAACAAUUAAAAUUAAAACUUUAAACUUUUAAUAGCCACACAAUUGUCUUAAGAUUUGUUUCAAUUCACAAGUCUCAAAAGUCAAUCUUUCUUUCUUAAAUUAUAUGCACAAUCAAACAACAUCACAUCAAAUGGGAUGGAUAGAGUAGUGAAAAAUAUACUACUCCCUCCGUUUCGAUUUAUGUGAACUCAUUUGACUGGGCACGGAGUUUAAGAAAAUAUAGAAGACUUUUGAAUUUGUGGUGUAAAAUGAAGCACAUAUACUUUGUGUGGCUAUAAAUCAUUGCAUAAAGGUAAAUUGAUUCCAAAUAGGGAAAGAGGUCAUUCUUUUUAGCACGAACUAAAAAGGAAAUAGGUUCACAUGAAUUGAAACGGAGGGAGUAUAAGAAUCUUAAAAACGCAUAGUCAAAGGAAACUGUAAUUGGGACAAAGAGCACAACGGUAAAGCGGAAAUAUAUCUAGGGUUUUGGAUCAUAACUCAGCCUAGAACUUUAAUACGAGCAAUUUAUCUGAUAAAAGAAGAAAGAAAAUACAUAAAAUAGAUGGAAAAACUAAACCUUAAAUUUGGCUUGUUUAAGAAUUGGGGCAUAGAAAGAUGUCAUUCUUUAUGGAAUAAACUAAAAAUGUAUUACAUGAGUUGGGGCAGAGGGAGUAAAAAAUGUUGUAGACAUGUAGUACUUUAGACUUAAAAAGUUAAGGAAUUGAUGUCUGAAUUUAUGCUUCAAUUUUGAUGUGUUAGACACUUGUACUUCAAGUCUUGGCAGUCUUUUUAAGGAUGGAUGGAGUAUAUAGUUUGAGUAGUUGCCUCUUUUGUUCCUAUGGAAUCUUCACAGACCCACAUCCAGCCCCUUGUUUGAUAAAAGUAAGAAAGAGAGAAGAUAAAUUAAUCUAUGAUUGUGCACUUCCUCUUUUGUUCCUAUGGAAUCUUCAGACCCACAUCCAGCCCCUUGUUUGUUAAAACUAAUAAAGAGAGAAGAUAAAUUAAUCUAUGACUGUGGCAUUAACAGGGCAGACGAAAUUUGUACAGAAGAGGGACAAUAGACCAAAUAUGAGCAUACACAAUCAGCGACACCAUUUGGCUUCAACCCCAAUUUAAACAAAAAUCUGACAAGAAUGAGUCGUCAAGCGGCGUACCAGAUUCAAAUUCUUGUAGUCAACAAAAAAUUAUACUGCCCGUGUCAUUUAAUGUGAAGAAUCAAGACAAACUAACACGGGCUAACUCAGAAGCCGAUUCAAGUAAACAAUAGUUCAUCUUGUUAAGGCACCCAACAGACCUCACAUCUAUUAAACUUUUAGGCUAAUAGUUUCAUUUCUAAACCCUUAACAGAACAUACUAAGAUCAAGUCAAUAGAGACAUAAACCAAAGAUUCCGAUUCAGAGAACAACCUAGCAGGACUCACGUUAGACAAAAACCCUUCAACAUAUGCACUGGCUCGACUAAUGAAUCGUGACAAAAAUAGUAACCGUGACAAAACUGAAAUAAGAUUUGAAAUACAGUCAACUAAAACAUGUACAAAGCCUCAAUUUAACGAUCAACACACAGAAGACUUCCAGCAACUCUACUGUUAGGAUAUUCGAUUCAAUUGAUUUAAGGUCAGCCUUAGCACAAGUUGUGUGCUGGAUCCUCAAUCAGAACACCACAGCUAGCACUGAAAGCUACUCUAGGCCGACCACACAUUUCCAGUAACAUCUAUAGAACUACUAAUUAACUCCCAGAACUUAUGGCUCAAGCAAAUCAUCACGAACAUCAGAGCAUAUUGCAAAGAGAAUCAUCAAAAGAGACUGAACACAUCAUUCAACUGAACGCGGUGAAAUCUUAACUCGGAAUAUACUUCGAGCCCGACUAACAGUCACAAUCAUACAGGGAAUGGAAGACACCUGUUCAAAUCGGCUUUUAUUAAUUAUAUAGACUCAGACACAUACCACUACUGAUAAGAGAUUCAUUCAACAAGAGAUUCAAUCAGAGCACAAACAGAGCACUUGAGACAGAACAACAUAGUUCAAUACUUUGAAACGAAACAGAACCGGAAGAGCAGAGAGAUGAAGAAUGUACCUGAAAUUUAAAACUUCUGUUGAUAACAGAAUCGAAGGUGAUUACACAGUUUCAACUCCACCACAAGAACUCAACGGCAAAUCAAAACUCGAAUAACAGCAAACCAGUAGCAGUCUAGUAGAAAUAAGAGGUUCGAACAGCGACCAACUCGAACUUCUUUUGAUAAUAGAAUCGAAGGUGAUUACACAGUUUCGACUCCAAAAUUCCCACAAGAACUCAAUGGCAAAUCAAAACUCGAAGUACAGCAAACCAGUAGCAGUCAAAUAGAAAUAAGAGGUUCGAACAGCGACCAACUCAGCAAAUUCUCAAACGAGCUCCACUUUAAAAGAACUCCACCCCAGAAAGAAGAUACGAAAUAUUUUUUUUUUAUUUUUCUGAAAUGUAAUUGAAAACGAAAACAGACUCAAAGAACAAUGAACAUUUUUUUAUAUCUGUUUUCCUUACUCUGGAACUAAACUAAACUUAGAAAACUAAAAUGAAGAAGGAUGUUACUUUGAACCUUAGCCUUUCUGCCAAAAUCUCUCUCCAAAAUAAUCCUCCCCUCUCAAAAUCGGAUCCAGCCCUUUAUGAAAUGAACCCCUGACGAAUGUGGGGCUCGGAUUGAAUGAAAUGUAUCCAAUACCUCACAUUCAUCCAAUGAAUCGUCUCUAGGACCUCCCAAUCGCGAGGUAAAUCUCAAAAACAAGCAAAUUAGAGGAGAGGGAAUCUUUGGUGUCAGAAACCGUUAUCUGCGAUAAGAGGAGAGAUAGAGGAACGCGUGGGUUAGGGACUGAUAUCCACUCGCGUGAAUUUUGAGCUGAAAUGGGGGCUUGGUUCGUGGAGAAGAAGAACAGUACACAGAAUCGCGUUUGAGAGAUUUAGGGUUUUCGUGAUUUUUUGGGUCUCUGAAGACUGCUGUGUAUUUUGGGUAUGUGGAGCUGAACCGGGUUUGGGCUGGUAA
rnacentral:lncRNA from 1 species